UAGGGAAUCUUCCGCAAUGGACGCAAGUCUGACGGAGCAACGCCGCGUGAGUGAAGAAGGAUUUCGGUUCGUAAAACUCUGUUGUUAGAGAAGAACAGCGCAUAGAGUAACUGUUAUGCGUGUGACGGUAUCUAACCAGAAAGCCACGGCUAACUACGUGCCAGCAGCCGCGGUAAUACGUAGGUGGCAAGCGUUGUCCGGAUUUAUUGGGCGUAAAGCGAGCGCAGGCGGUCAAUUAAGUCUGAUGUGAAAGCCCCCGGCUCAACCGGGGAGGGUCAUUGGAAACUGGUUGACUUGAGUGCAGAAGAGGAGAGUGGAAUUCCAUGUGUAACGGUGAAAUGCGUAGAUAUAUGGAGGAACACCAGUGGCGAAGGCGACUCUCUGGUCUGUAACUGACGCUGAGGCUCGAAAGCGUUGGUAGCAAACAGG
rnacentral:rRNA from 1 species